CAUGUACUCUCUUCGUCCCAAAAAGUUUGUUUUAGAUUUUUUUUAAUAUGAAUGUAUCUAAUCACGUUUUAAUAUUUAGAUACAAUCAUUUUUAGACAAAUCUAAAACAAGAAUUCUAGGACGCGGGAAGCAUAUA
rnacentral:pre_miRNA from 1 species